UACGUAGGGGGCUAGCGUUGUCCGGAUUUAUUGGGCGUAAAGAGCGUGUAGGCGGCCAGGUAGGUCUGCUGUGAAAACUCGAGGCUCAACCUCGAGACGUCGGCGGAAACCAUCUGGCUAGAGUCCGGAAGAGGAGAGUGGAAUCCUGGUGUAGCGGUGAAAUGCGCAGAUAUCAGGAGGAACACCAAUAGCGAAGGCAGCUCGCUGGGACGUUACUGACACUGAGGCGCGAAAGCGUGGGGAGCGAACAGG
rnacentral:rRNA from 1 species